AACGAACGCUGGCGGCAGGCUUAACACAUGCAAGUCGAGCGCCCCGCAAGGGGAGCGGCAGACGGGUGAGUAACGCGUGGGAAUCUACCCAUCUCUACGGAAUAACGCAUGGAAACGUGUGCUAAUACCGUAUACGUCCUUCGGGAGAAGGAUUUAUCGGAGAUGGAUGAGCCCGCGUUGGAUUAGCUAGUUGGUGGGGUAAAGGCCUACCAAGGCGACGAUCCAUAGCUGGUCUGAGAGGAUGAUCAGCCACACUGGGACUGAGACACGGCCCAGACUCCUACGGGAGGCAGCAGUGGGGAAUAUUGGACAAUGGGCGCAAACCUGAUCCAGCCAUGCCGCGUGAGUGAUGAAGGCCCUAGGGUUGUAAAGCUCUUUCACCGGAGAAGAUAAUGACGGUAACCGGAGAAGAAGCCCCGGCUAACUUCGUGCCAGCCGCCGCCGUAAUAC
rnacentral:rRNA from 1 species